rnacentral:rRNA from 1 species
GCUGAAGAGAGGAGCUUGCUCUUCUUGGAUGAGUUGCGAACGGGUGAGUAACGCGUAGGUAACCUGCCUUGUAGCGGGGGAUAACUAUUGGAAACGAUAGCUAAUACCGCAUAACAAUGGAUGACACAUGUCAUUUAUUUGAAAGGGGCAAUUGCUCCACUACAAGAUGGACCUGCGUUGUAUUAGCUAGUAGGUGAGGUAACGGCUCACCUAGGCGACGAUACAUAGCCGACCUGAGAGGGUGAUCGGCCACACUGGGACUGAGACACGGCCCAGACUCCUACGGGAGGCAGCAGUAGGGAAUCCUCGGCAAUGGGGGCAACCCUGACCGAGCAACGCCGCGUGAGUGAAGAAGGUUUUCGGAUCGUAAAGCUCUGUUGUAAGUCAAGAACGAGUGUGAGAGUGGAAAGUUCACACUGUGACGGUAGCUUACCAGAAAGGGACGGCUAACUACGUGCCAGCAGCCGCGGUAAUACGUAGGUCCCGAGCGUUGUCCGGAUUUAUUGGGCGUAAAGCGAGCGCAGGCGGUUUGAUAAGUCUGAAGUUAAAGGCUGUGGCUCAACCAUAGUUCGCUUUGGAAACUGUCAAACUUGAGUGCAGAAGGGGAGAGUGGAAUUCCAUGUGUAGCGGUGAAAUGCGUAGAUAUAUGGAGGAACACCGGUGGCGAAAGCGGCUCUCUGGUCUGUAACUGACGCUGAGGCUCGAAAGCGUGGGGAGCGAACAGG